UCGAACGGUAGCACAGAGAGCUUGCUCUCGGGUGACGAGUGGCGGACGGGUGAGUAAUGUCUGGGAAACUGCCUGAUGGAGGGGGAUAACUACUGGAAACGGUAGCUAAUACCGCAUAACGUCGCAAGACCAAAGAGGGGGACCUUCGGGCCUCUUGCCAUCAGAUGUGCCCAGAUGGGAUUAGCUAGUAGGUGGGGUAACGGCUCACCUAGGCGACGAUCCCUAGCUGGUCUGAGAGGAUGACCAGCCACACUGGAACUGAGACACGGUCCAGACUCCUACGGGAGGCAGCAGUGGGGAAUAUUGCACAAUGGGCGCAAGCCUGAUGCAGCCAUGCCGCGUGUAUGAAGAAGGCCUUCGGGUUGUAAAGUACUUUCAGCGGGGAGGAAGGUGUUGUGGUUAAUAACCGCAGCAAUUGACGUUACCCGCAGAAGAAGCACCGGCUAACUCCGUGCCAGCAGCCGCGGUAAUACGGAGGGUGCAAGCGUUAAUCGGAAUUACUGGGCGUAAAGCGCACGCAGGCGGUCUGUCAGUCGGAUGUGAAAUCCCCGGGCUCACCUGGGAACUGCAUUCGAACUGGCAGGCUAGAUCUUGUAGAGGGGGUAGAAUUCCGGUGUAGCGGUGAAUGCGUAGAGAUCUGGAGGAAUACCGGUGGCGAAGGCGGCCCCUGGACAAGACUGACGCUCAGUGCGAAACGUGGGGAGCAACAGGAUUAUAUACCUGGUAGUCCCCCCGUAAAGAUGUCGAUUUGGAGUUGUGCCUUGAGCGUGCUCCGGAGCAACGCGUUAAUCGACCCCUGGGGAGUACGCCGCAGGUUAAACUCAAUGAAUGACGGGGCCGCACAACGGGGAGCAGUGGUUUAUUCAUGCACCCCAAGAACUUACUGGUCUGACUCCACGAAAUUACAAAAAAGCUUGGUGCUUCGGAACUGUAAAAAGUGCUGCUGCUGUCUCACCCUGUUGGAAAGUUGGUUAAUCCCCACG
rnacentral:rRNA from 1 species